rnacentral:sRNA from 2 species
UGCUUUGCUAUUUCCUUCCGCCGAGCAGCAGCGUCGUCGUUCGGAUAAACGAAUUGUACGCUGUAGUAGAGGUCAGGUUGCUCUU